rfam:Gossypium raimondii Chr11_contig_715, whole genome shotgun sequence.
AAUCCAUGCAUCGGACAUUUCUGAAUUAACUCCUUAAAUCGUUCCCAAGCUUCAUAUAGAGUUUUGUCUUUCAUUUGCCGAAAAGAUGUGAUGUGAUGUCAUUUCUAAGUUU